CUUGGUCAUUUAGAGGAAGUAAAAGUCGUAACAAGGUUUCCGUAGGUGAACCUGCGGAAGGAUCAUUACAGAGUUCAUGCCCUCACGGGUAGAUCUCCCACCCUUGAAUACUAUACCUUAGUUGCUUUAGCAGGCCGUGGAAACACCACGGGCCCCGGCCUGUGUGUGCCUGCUAGAGGAAACAAACUCUGUUUUUAGUGAUGUCUGAGUACUAUAUAAUAGUUAAAACUUUCAACAACGGAUCUCUUGGUUCUGGCAUCGAUGAAGAACGCAGCGAAAUGCGAUAAGUAAUGUGAAUUGCAGAAUUCAGUGAAUCAUCGAAUCUUUGAACGCACAUUGCGCCCCGUGGUAUUCCGCGGGGCAUGCCUGUUCGAGCGUCAUUUCAACCAAUCAAGCCUCGGCUUGGUCUUGGGGUUUGCGGUCCCGCAUCUCCUAAACUUAGUGGCGGUGCGAUUAAGCUCUGAGCGUAGUAAUUCUUCUCGCUAUAGGGUCUUGGUCGUUACUUGCCAGUAACCCCCAAUUUUUUAUCAGGUUGACCUCGGAUCAGGUAGGGAUACCCGCUGAACUUAAGCAUAUCAAUAAGCGGAGGA
rnacentral:rRNA from 1 species